rnacentral:rRNA from 1 species
CCUACGGGUGGCAGCAGUCGGGAAUUUUGCGCAAUGGGCGAAAGCCUGACGCAGCAACGCCGCGUGAGGGAUGAAGGCCUUCGGGUUGUAAACUUCUUUUCUCAGGGACGAUGAUGACGGUACCUGAGGAAUAAGCCACGGCUAACUACGUGCCAGCAGCCGCGGUAAUACGUAGGUGGCAAGCGUUGUCCGGAUUUACUGGGCGUAAAGAGCGCGCAGGCGGUCGUGCAAGUCGCGUGUGAAAGCCCCCGGCUCAACUGGGGAGGGUCACGCGAUACUGCUCGACUCGAAGGCAGGAGAGGGAAGUGGAAUUCCCGGUGUAGUGGUGAAAUGCGUAGAUAUCGGGAGGAACACCAGUGGCGAAGGCGACUUCCUGGCCUGUUCUUGACGCUGAGGCGCGAAAGCUAGGGUAGCAAACGGGAUUAGAUACCCCGGUAGUC